rnacentral:rRNA from 1 species
UUGGCUCGGUCUAUAUGGUCAGUCAUCCAGAUAGCUUCUGGCUUGUAUCCUCCUUGUAGUGUUGCCAAUGUAUUUGGCAACUGGUUACAUGGGAUUGAUCACAGGUUUAGAACUCUUCUUAGGGUGGGAGCGCUAGCCGUUAUUUGGUCGCUUUGGCUAUGUAGAAAUGAUAAGGUUUUUAACGAUAAAAGUACUUCACUAAUGCAGGUUAUCUACAGAUGUAUCGGGACUCUUCGUUUAUGGUCCUUUCUACAACGCGUGUAG